GUAACGUCCUGCCAAACCCGUCU
rnacentral:siRNA from 1 species